rnacentral:rRNA from 1 species
AGCGAACGCUGGCGGCAUGCCUAACACAUGCAAGUCGAACGAGAUCUUCGGGUCUAGUGGCGCACGGGCGCGUAACGCGUGGGAAUCUGCCCUUUGGUUCGGAAUAACAGUUGGAAACGACUGCUAAUACCGGAUGAUGACGAAAGUCCAAAGAUUUAUCGCCAGAGGAUGAGCCCGCGUAGGAUUAGCUAGUUGGUGUGGUAAAGGCGCACCAAGGCGACGAUCCUUAGCUGGUCUGAGAGGAUGAUCAGCCACACUGGGACUGAGACGCGGCCCAGACUCCUACGGGAGGCAGCAGUGGGGAAUAUUGGACAAUGGGCGAAAGCCUGAUCCAGCGAUGCCGCGUGAGUGAUGAAGGCCUUAGGGUUGUAAAGCUCUUUUACCCGGGAUGAUAAUGACAGUACCGGGAGAAUAAGCUCCGGCUAACUCCGUGCCAGCAGCCGCGGUAA